UACGACUACAUAUCAGGCAUAUCAAUAAGCGGAGGAAAAGAAACUAACUAGGAUUCCCUCAGUAACGGCGAGUGAAGCGGGAAGAGCUCAAAUUUGAAAUCUUCAAGGUUCUACCUUGACGAAUUGUAGUUUAAAGAAGUGUUUUCUGUUGGAGUUUUGGUAAAAGUUCUUUGGAAUAGGACAUCAUAGAGGGUGAGAAUCCCGUAUUUGACCAUUAUUUUCAGCUGUGUGAUACACUUUCAAAGAGUCGGAUUGUUUGGGAAUGCAGUCCAAAAUGGGUGGUAAAUUUCAUCUAAAGCUAAAUAUUGGCGAGAGACCGAUAGCGAACAAGUACCGUGAGGGAAAGAUGAAAAGAACUUUGAAAAGAGAGUUAAACAGUACGUGAAAUUGUCAAAAGGGAAGCGUUUGACACCAGUGUUGUUUUCUCGAAAAUCAAUUAAAAAGAGUUGGAUUUUGUGUUGUAUUGACCUUAACAGCUUGCUUCACUCUUUUCCAGCUUUUUUUAAUGCACUUUUCGUUUAACAAGUCAACAUCAGUUUCUUUUGUUGUAAAAGGGUCAUUGGAAGGUGGCUUUCUCUUCGGAGAAAGUGUUUAUAGCCUUUGAUCUCUGCAAUCGGAGAGACUGAGGUCUGCAGCGUAGAUCCUUCGGGGUUAGAUACAUUUGUGCUAAGCUAUCAGCCUUUCAUAGACAACUUGUUGACUAUGAUUUAGUCAUUGUAGCUUACCUCGCUUAUGCUAUUUUACCUACGCUUAGGAUGUUGAGCGCAUGUCUCUCUCU
rnacentral:rRNA from 1 species